AUUGAACGCUGGCGGCAGGCUUAACACAUGCGAGUCGGGCGGGGUGAUGGUGCUUGCACUAUCACUUAGCGGCGGACGGGUGAGUAAUGCUUAGGAAUCUGCCUAUUAGUGGGGGACAACAUCUCGAAAGGGAUGCUAAUACCGCAUACGUCCUACGGGAGAAAGCAGGGGAUCACUUGUGACCUUGCGCUAAUAGAUGAGCUUAAGUCGGAUUAGCGAGUUGGUGGGGUAAAGGCCUACCAAGGCGACGAUCUGUAGCGGGUCUGAGAGGAUGAUCCGCCACGCUGGGAAUGAGACACGGGCCAGACUCCUACGGGAGGCAGCAGUGGGGAAUAUUGGACAAUGGGGGGAACCCUGAUCCAGCCAUGCCGCGUGUGUGAAGAAGGCCUUAUGGUUGUAAAGCACUUUAAGCGAGGAGGAGGCUCUUUUGGUUAAUACCCAAGAUGAGUGGACGUUACUCGCAGAAUAAGCACCGGCUAACUCUGUGCCAGCAGCCGCUGUAAAAC
rnacentral:rRNA from 1 species